GGCCCAGAUCGUUUACCGUGAAGAAAUUAGAGUGUUCAAAGCGGGCGCGAAAGCAAUUUCUCGCCGUUGAAUACGUCAGCAUGGGAUAAUGGAAUAGGACCCCGCCCUCCUAUUUUCCGUUGGUUUCCGGGAGCGGGGUAAUGAUUGAUAGGGAUAGUUGGGGGCAUCGAUAUUUAAUUGUCAGAGGUGAAAUUCUUGGAUUUAUGAAAGAUCGACUUCCGCGAAAGCAUUUGCCAAGGAUGUUUUCAUUAAUCAAGAACGAAAGUUAGGGGAUCGAAGACGAUCAGAUACCGUCGUAGUCUUAACCAUAAACCGUGCCGACCAGCGAUCGGGAGACGUCGCAUGGAUGACUCCCCUAGCAGCUUGUGAGA
rnacentral:rRNA from 1 species